rnacentral:rRNA from 1 species
UACGGAGGGGACUAGCGUUGUUCGGAAUUACUGGGCGUAAAGCGCACGUAGGCGGAUUUGUAAGUCAGGGGUGAAAUCCCGAGGCUCAACCUCGGAACUGCCUGUGAUACUGCAAAUCUCGAGUCCGGAAGAGGUGAGUGGAAUUCCUAGUGUAGAGGUGAAAUUCGUAGAUAUUAGGAAGAACACCAGUGGCGAAGGCGGCUCACUGGUCCGGUACUGACGCUGAGGUGCGAAAGCGUGGGGAGCAAACAGG